GGUGUAGCUCAAGUGGUAGAGCGUAUGUCUAGUGUGUACAGGGUUCUGGGUUCAACCCCCAGCACC
rnacentral:tRNA from 1 species